rnacentral:rRNA from 1 species
UACGUAGGGAGCAAGCGUUGUCCGGAAUCAUUGGGCGUAAAGCGCGCGUAGGUGGUCCCGUAAGUCCGCUGUGAAAGUCAAAGGCUCAACCUUUGAAAGCCGGUGGAUACUGUGGGACUAGAGUACGGAAGAGGCGAGUGGAAUUCCUGGUGUAGCGGUGGAAUGCGCAGAUAUCAGGAGGAACACCAAUGGCGAAGGCAGCUCGCUGGGACGUGACUGACGCUGAGACGCGAAAGCGUGGGGAGCGAACAGG